CCCGAUGCUUCCUCCGCUGUCUCUGCUGCACCCUCUUCUGCGCGGCUGGCUUUUGCUGGAGCCCAAAACGGGCCAUGCUUGAGCUGAUUGCAGGCUUGGAGAUGCAAACAGAUACAGCUUUGUUUUAGACUGUUGACAGGACGAAAUAAAAAUAUAGUACUCUUUUCUCAGAACAUUGCCAUGGUGACAUCAGCAAGACAUACAUUUAAUUUUGACUUUUUUCUCCCCAGACCAAUUGCAUUUACGAGAUUUAGCUGGUUCCAUAGAAACGAUGUUCAAGAGCCUAACCUCAGACUACGUGGGCUUGUCUUCAGAGAGUCGCCCUCGCUGGCAUCACCGAGACCCCUUGACGAGUGCAGCGGUUCUCCAGGACAGUGCACAAAGUUUUCUGUUUUUUGGCAGGAAAUAUGCAGGUGGAUAAUGUCAGUGAUGGACGUAAAUCAUGUGGGUGGCCAGCGGGGUGAGCUGCGAGAUGGCGGAGGGUGUGGGUAUCGACCCCUUGCUCUUGACAGCUUACGUCGCCCAUUCACACCCCACCUUGGCAGCGAUCUUCUGCGAUGCUCCCAGAAAUAAGGAGCUCGAGCUGUCGAGGGGCAAGAAUGAAACGCUGAAGCCUGUCCCCAAGCUGUCCUGCUCCACAGGGGCUGGGGACAGGGACCAGGAUCGGGACCCAAUGGUGCUGCCGCGCAUGGGUUCCAGCUUCCCUGGGGAAGCUUCCUGCUGGGAGACGAGCAGACACUUGCAGCACUGCGUCAACAUUACACCUUCGUCGCUGGUCGCAGUAGCUCCAGCUCUUCAGACCAGCUAUGGCUGUUAAUGAUGGACAAGACGCAGGUGUGUGAGGGUAACCGUGCAGAAGGCAGAGCGAUGACCGGUAAGCUGGAGUAGCAAAGACUUUCUAGAAGCACCGCUGGCCAUUCCAGUUAAGGAGUUGGCUCUGCUCUUUCUAGUCUUGCUUUACUGUAUCUUUCACUCCUUUCAGGUGUCCAGGGAACAACAUUAGGAAUGGAUUUGUUGCUGGGAUCGUGUUUGUUUUUGUUCAGUUAUAUUUGUUGCUUUUAAACAUGAAAGUUGUUGCAUCUUUAGGCCAUGUAGUUCAGCUGAGAGCUGCAGUGCCUUUGGCCAGCCGGGAGAGCACUAGGUGACCAAACCCAACCACCGCAAACACACCAGCCUCUCCUAGGCUUCUGCUUCAGGAGGCUUGUUGUGCUAAUAGUCCCUCGUCUGCACUGGUUUCCAGUUAGUUUUUGGUUGCAGUUCAAGUUCAAGGGCGCAAUUUGUAAGAUCUGCUCGGUUUUGGGUUGUCAGCAUUGCUUGUUUCCUUGCUCGUUUACCUGACAGGUGAGAGCCCUG
rnacentral:lncRNA from 1 species